rfam:Ovis aries breed Texel chromosome 7, whole genome shotgun sequence.
UCCCUGGUAGUCCAGUGGCUAGGACUCAGCACUUACACUGCUGGGAUGCAGGUUCAAACCCUGGUUGGGGAA